UACGGGGGGGGCAAGCGUUGUUCGGAAUUACUGGGCGUAAAGGGCUCGUAGGUGGCCCACUAAGUCAGACGUGAAAUCCCUCGGCUUAACUGGGGAACUGCGUCUGAUACUGGAUGGCUUGGAUUCGGGAGAGGAAUGCGGAAUUCCAGGUGUAGCGGUGAAAUGCGUAGAUAUCUGGAGGAACACCGGUGGCGAAGGCGGCAUUCUGGACCGAUAUUGACGCUGAGGAGCGAAAGCCAGGGGAGCAAACGGG
rnacentral:rRNA from 1 species